UGAGGGAUUUUGCGCAUGGGGGAAACCCUGACGCAGCAACGCCGCGUGAGUGAUGAAGGCCUUCGGGUCGUAAAGCUCUGUCAAGUGGGAAGAACCUGCCUUGUGCUAACAACGCAAUGCACUGACAGUACCACUGAAGGAAGCACCGGGUAACUCCGUGCCAGCAGCCGCGGUAAUA
rnacentral:rRNA from 1 species